rnacentral:rRNA from 1 species
GUGGGGAAUUUUGGACAAUGGGGGCAACCCUGAUCCAGCCAUGCCGCGUGUGUGAAGAAGGCCUUCGGGUUGUAAAGCACUUUCGGCGGGAACGAAAUCGCACGGGUGAAUAGCCUGUGCGGAUGACGGUACUCGCAGAAGAAGCACCGGCUAACUACGUGCCAGCAGCCGCGGUAAUACGUAGGGUGCGAGCGUUAAUCGGAAUUACUGGGCGUAAAGCGUGCGCAGGCGGCUUUUUAAGCCAGAUGUGAAAGCCCCGGGCUCAACCUGGGAACUGCAUUUGGGACUGGAAGGCUAGAGUGCGGAAGAGGGGGGUGGAAUUCCACGUGUAGCAGUGAAAUGCGUAGAGAUGUGGAGGAACACCGAUGGCGAAGGCAGCCCCCUGGGUCGACACUGACGCUCAUGCACGAAAGCGUGGGGAGCAAACAGGAUUAGAAACCCGAGUAGUCC